CCCUUAGAUGUUCUGGGCCGCACGCGUGCUACACUGAGUGGAUCAGCGGGUCAGGUUGCGCGAAAGUGUUUCCUAAUCUUUAAAUCCGCUCGUGAUGGGGAUUGACGGUUGCAAUUUUCCGUCAUGAACGAGGAAUACCUUGUAAGCGCGGGUCAUCAUCCCGCGCUGAAUACGUCCCUGCCCUUGUACACACCGCCCGUCGCUCCUACCGAUUGAGUGGUCCGGUGAGGCUUUGGGAUCUGAGCGGAAAGAGCGUUUCGCUGUUUCUGCCCGGAAAACUCAGUCGAACCUUAUCAUUUAGAGGAAGGAGAAGUCGUAACA
rnacentral:rRNA from 1 species